UGGGGAAUUUUGGACAAUGGGGGAAACCCUGAUCCAGCCAUCCCGCGUGUGCGAUGAAGGCCUUCGGGUUGUAAAGCACUUUUGGCAGGAAAGAAACGUCAUGGGUUAAUACCCCGUGAAACUGACGGUACCUGCAGAAUAAGCACCGGCUAACUACGUGCCAGCAGCCGCGGUAAUACGUAGGGUGCAAGCGUUAAUCGGAAUUACUGGGCGUAAAGCGUGCGCAGGCGGUUCGGAAAGAAAGAUGUGAAAUCCCAGAGCUCAACUUUGGAACUGCAUUUUUAACUACCGGGCUAGAGUGUGUCAGAGGGAGGUGGAAUUCCGCGUGUAACAGUGAAAUGCAUAGAUAUGCGGAGGAACACCGAUGGCGAAGGCAGCCUCCUUGGAUAACACUGACGCUUAUGCACGAAAGCGUGGGGAGCAAACAGG
rnacentral:rRNA from 1 species